rnacentral:rRNA from 1 species
AGCGAACGCUGGCGGCAGGCUUAACACAUGCAAGUCGAGCGGACCUUUCGGGGUCAGCGGCGGACGGGUGCGUAACGCGUGGGAACGUGCCUUCCGGUUCGGAAUAACCCUGGGAAACUAGGGCUAAUACCGGAUACGCCCUCCUGGGGAAAGGUUUACUGCCGGAGGAUCGGCCCGCGUCUGAUUAGCUCGUCGGUGGGGUAACGGCCUACAAAGGCGACGAUCAGUAGCUGGUCUGAGAGGAUGAUCAGCCACACUGGGACUGAGACACGGCCCAAACUCCGAGGGGUGGCAGCAGUGGGGAAUAUUGGACAAUGGGCGCAAGCCUGAUCCAGCCAGGCCGCGUGAGUGAUGGAGGCCUUAGGGUUGUAAAGCUAGUUUUACCGGGAAGAUAAUGACGGUACAGGAUGAAUAAGCCCCGGCUAACUUCGUG